ensembl:rRNA 5S_rRNA 5S ribosomal RNA
GUCUAUGGCCAUACCAUCCUGAACUCGCCCGAUCUCGUCUGAUCUCGGAAGAAAAUGCAAUAUCAUAGUGUUAACUGAAGAUUGGAGCAGCCAUGAACA